rnacentral:rRNA from 1 species
GGUACAUGCCGGGCGUUGGUAGCCCCGGUUGCAAGGGACCGAAAUUAGAGUAGGGAAGAUGGACUUGGAUACUGGCGAGAAAAGCUCUGUGGAUAUCUGCGAUGCCCGUACCGCAAACCGACACAGGUAGGUAGGAAGAGGAUUCUAAGGCCAACGGGAGAAGGGUUGUUAAGGAACUCGGCAAGUUGACCCCGUAACUUCGGGAGAAGGGGUGCUCUGGAAACAGAGCCGCAGAGAAUAGGUCCAGGCAACUGUUUAGCAAAAACACAGCUCUCUGCUAAAUCGAAAGAUGAUGUAUAGGGGGUGACGCCUGCCCGGUGCUGGAAGGUUAAGAGGAGGAGUGAGAGCCCCGAAUCGAAGCCCCAGUAAACGGCGGCCGUAACAAUAACGGUCCUAAGGUAGCGAAAUUCCUUGUCAGGUAAGUUCUGACCCGCACGAAAGGCGUAAUGAUCUGGACACUGUCUCAACAGCCCACCCGGCGAAAUUGUAGUACCGGUGAAGAUGCCGGUUACCCGCGACAAGACGGAAAGACCCCAUGGAGCUUUACUGCAGCCUAAUAUAGGAUUUCGGUAUUUCAUGUACAGGAUAGGUGGGAGACUAGGAAACACAGGCGUCAGCUUGUGCGGAGUCGCCCUUGGGAUACCACCCUUGAAGUGCUGGAAUUCUAACCUGUGGCCAUGAAUCUGGUCAGGGGACAUUGUUAGGCGGGCAGUUUGACUGGGGCGGUCGCCUCCAAAAGAGUAACGGAGGCGCUCAAAGGUUUGCUCAGCAUGGCCGGAAACCAUGCCUUAGAGUGUAAACGCAAAAGCAAGCCCAACUGCGAGACCGACGGGUCGAGCAGAAACGAAAGUUGGAGUUAGUGAUCCGGUGGUAUGUGAGUGGAAAUGCCAUCGCUCAACGGAUAAAAGCUACCCUGGGGAUAACAGGCUGAUCUCCCCCAAGAGUCCACAUCGUCGGGGAGGUUUGGCACCUCGAUGUCGGCUCAUCGCAUCCUGGGGCUGUAUUCGGUCCCAAGGGUUUGGCUGUUCGCCAAUUAAAGCGGUACGCGAGCUGGGUUCAGAACGUCGUGAGACAGUUCGGUCCCUAUCUGUCGUGGGCGCAGGAUAUUUGAAAGGAGCUGUCCCUAGUACGAGAGGACCGGGAUGGACGCACCUCUGGUGCACCAGUUGUCACGCCAGUGGCACAGCUGGGCAGCUAUGUGCGGAUCGGAUAAACGCUGAAGGCAUCUAAGCGUGAAACCGGCCUUAAGAUAAGAUAUCCCACUGAGUCAAUCAGGUAAGACCCCUUGAAGACUACAAGGUAGAUAGGCACAAUGUGUAAGCGUGGUGACAUGUUAAGCUAGCGUGUACUAAUCGGUCGAGGGCUUGACCGA